UUAAUGGGCCCCACCAGUCCAUUUCUUCACUUUCCACAUCCUGUAGUCUUCCCCAACUUCUCAGUUCUUCUUUCCCAGGUGACAUGUUCCUCUCGCCAGAUCCCCUUUCUGUUUUUCUUAAUCUCUCUGCUCACUCCAAAAUUGCUGCUGCCAGUUAGCUCCCAUCAAGUUGCUCUCUUGAUUCGCUGCCUUGAGGUUGUUCGUGCUCACCUGCAGCGACCCCGCAGCUGGUGAUUCAACAGUGUGUCCAUCGACGGCGGCUGGUAUGGCUUCUCGUAUGCCCCCUCGGUCUCCUAGGAUGUUGAAUGGCGAUUGAAGAGUAGUAGGGUCCAAGGAUCAAGUGUAGCAAGGAGGAGGCGUGAUCAUUGAUCUGCACGGUGCCGGUGUUCUAGGCGUCCGUGUAGUUGAUUUGGGCAUGUACGUUGUCUCCCGUAGCCCGCUUGGAUCCAGCUUGAGUAUUAGGGUGCUGGCGAUGUUGUCUUCCCCAAGUGCGCAAGCCAGACACGGUAUUCCCACUCGAGAAAGCCGACACGUCGUCGUCAUCGUCCACAGCGUCAACAUUCUUAGAAGUUCAAAGUCCGACCUGCAGGUCCCCCCAUUAUCCUUUUCUUGAGUCAUAUUUUCCCCUUUUUCUUUACAUUUUGAUAUGUUUUUCGAUUCAAUCUAUAUAAUGUUAUUAAGAAAAUGCCUGUUAGUGGUAAAUGUUUCAUCAUUUUUCUUUCAAAAUUUGGAAAAACAUACGAUUCUUUUGUUUAAGUGCUCUUUAAGUGUUGAAUGAGGUAGAUACUGAUAAGUUUGUGAAAUUGCAAAAAAUGUAAGUAUAUGUCUGAGAAGACAUACAAAUGCAAAUUAGUACAUUCAGUUGACCUAUGGUGAAGGUACUAAAUGAUGAGAGUUUUCUUUUAUUGAGAAAUACUCCCUCUGUAAACUUUUACAAGAGGUUUUAGAUCACUACUUACAUCUUAUGGCACAGUUUUAAGUUUUUUAAGCCCCCUCCACUUCUUUCCAUGCUUUUGACCGACAUUGGCAGUGGUAAGCCUUAAUAUUCAACAAACUUAAGAAAGAAUUAAUACAUUUGUGAUUAGUUAUAGUUUUAAUAUUCUGCAAAGAAAAAAAAAGAUAAGUAACUGAAUAUGAAAACAUGUCUAAUCACAUUAUACAUGUGAAAUAUAGCAAUCUCCCGAUGCUCUCACUAUUUGUUUGCACUAAAUAGUAAGCUUUUGUAAUAAAUAUCACAUAAUAUAUAUGUCGAUGUUUGGUAGUAAUGAACUAUUUCCACCAAAUGGUGAUGCAUGUUUGCAAUACUUCGGCAUGGUAGUAGACCCUAUUCGUCCUACCAUAUCAUGUUAGCAUAGUUAAGUCAGUUUUUUUAGGAUAGUUUGUACUGUAAAAAUUUGAAGAAUGUUGUGCUCCUUGAAUUUCCAGUAUGCUUUGUAAAGAACAUACUCACAUUUUACUUUCGGUGAACUAUUUGUGAAAAUAAUAAAAGUACAUGUGCAUACCUCUUCAAUUCUUCCGUUUACGUAUUUCAUCUGAAUCUUACCGAAGGGGCAGCUCGAUGCAUGUAGCUCCCACUUGCACAGGGUCCGGGGAAGGGUCCGACCACUUUAGGUCUAUAGUAUGCAGCCUUCCCCUACAUUUCUGUAAGAGGUUGUUUCCAGGACUUGAACCCGUGACCUCAUGGUCACAAGGCAGCAGCUUUACCACUGCGCCAAGGCUCCCCUUCCAUCUGAAUCUUACCGGCGGGCUUAAAAUGUAGCUCACGUUAAAAUUCUACAUGUACUCUUGCAAAUACCUGAAGUUAACAUCAGUAGUUAAGGUCUUGAAUAACAGUUGGGAUUGUGUUCGUGAAUCCAUCAUGUUGUUCUAGCAAGGUAGAUGCACAUAUGAUGCCUAAAUGUCUUCGCGCUGCCUCAUUAAACUUGAUAAAUGUUCUGUUGCCAUCUCAUCGCUUACCUUGAGUUUAAGUGUGUACCUAAUAUGCAUGAUGUAGUGUAUGCUCACCGUAGAUCCACAUUUUCAGCCACCUCGUUACAUGAAAUAUGGAUUUACAUACCUGAACACUCUUUUACCAAUAUUUACCCUACUCUCUAAGGUAUCUCCAUCAACAACUUUCAAGUAGUAGCCCAAAAUAAAAUUUGAAACUCUUUCCUCAACUUUCUUCAUUGUUAUAUCAAAAAGGAAACUGAUUUUUAGAUUGUCCCUCAAUGGUCAAAUAAUUUCAUGCUCCCAAAACUUCAAAGGUCUUAAAUAUGUAGGUAGAGUCCUCUUUAACUUUGAAUGAUGAAAAGUAAUAAAAAAGCAAACUAUAUAUUUACAUAAUAAUUGUACAUACUUAUCUGUUAAAAUCAUAUCAGUGCUAAUAAGCUCAUUGGUUGAUAAGUUGAUUUUGUCCCAGAGCCUUGAACUUGAGCUUAAUUUUUCUUGUCCCAAUGCCUGUAGCUAAUGAAUUCAAUAGUGUACGUGACAUACUGCUUUGGCAUGUUAAUAAUUCAAGUAACUAAUAUAAUAUGUAAGUAAGUAUGCAUAUUUAGUUGUUUUGUUUUCUAAGGAAACCAUGAAAACGGAAGUAUUAGCUCAAGGGAAAUAUAAGUAUGUCAAGGAAACAGACAGAUUAUAUUUUUAUUAUUUCGGCAUGCACAUAUAUAGUGAUUGGUUAGGCUAUCUUUGUUCAGAGUCUCUACAUGAGCACUUUAUCGAAUAUAAUUAAAGUAUCAUUGAUUAAUUGGUCAAUGGUCAAUGGCCAGUUCAUCAUUCUGAUAUAAAAUGAAAUAGAAACUUUAGUAUCUAAUAAAGUAAGUAAUAUAGCAAAGAACUAUUUCGCAAUAAAAAUAAAAAUAUAUAGCAAAGAACUUACAUGUAUGUAUGUACUAAGCAUGGGGAUAGUUUGUGGUUAUGUUAAUUAAUCUGCAAUGCACAGAUUGGAUUUUUUCUAUUUUGGAAAGAUUUAUUGAUCAAGUAUUGUUUAUCCAUUGAUCCAUUCAUCAAUCUAGCAUAUAGUGAAUCAUGCAAAUGGCUUGAUUUUGUGCAAAAGAUGAUACCUGCUGGAGGUGUUGUCGCUAGACGGAGUUAAUACUGUAGGUUGUGACGUCUCUGGCCGGAGUUGAUCGGACGAUCCUCAGUAUUACGUACAAUGGUCUACAAGCACAAUAUUGGUAAGUGGAAGUAAAGGUAAGUGGCUGGCCUCUUGCUAACCUGAAAAUUCUUCUUUGAUGACUUUCAAAACACUUGUAAGCGAUGUAUCCAUUUUUUGCAUGGCUUUUACAUCAGGAUAAAAUAUUAGGUGUAACAUCUCGCUGUAGAGAACCUAAAAACUGCGCAAAGAAGAAUUAUGCAUCGGUAGGUGUUGACAUAUAUUUCAAUGGCUGAGAGUAACUACAAUUCUUGUAAGCAGUGCAGCUAACAAUUCAAAAAAAACAACAACUAAACAAUGCUUAGCUUUGCGACUUAUCUUGAGCAUUGUCCAUUGUCCUCCUCGUCACCAUGCUAUCCCUUCCGCUUAACUCGGUCUGAUGCAAAAUCAAGCAAGAAAGUAAAUUAAGGUUAUUUGGUGCAGAUUAAAAUUGUUCGGCUUUUCUAUAUAAUAGAGGAAUGUCAAAUAGCACAAAUUUAGGUUUAGGACCUAGGAAACAAACAACAAUAAAUGUGUAAGCGGCAAUGUUUUCUUCUUGGCACAAAAAGGUAAGUAUAGUUUGAACAAAAACGUUCUAGAACUCAUUUGGUUCUGCAUUACUGUAUCAAUGGACAAAGUAGCUGUAUAACUUGUAAAACAUAGGGAAACUAUAGGUUGCACAAAAAACUGAAACCAAGCAAGCUAUGCAGACGAAAAUCUGAGGUAAUCAAGAUUGAUUUGAGUGGAUUUAGAUUACUCGUGUCUUGGAUGAGAAUAAAUUAAUGAGAUACAUUGGUGUAGAUCUAUUAAUAUUUAUGGUACGUGCUUUAAUGUUUGGAUGUUUUGAUUUUUUGUUGGAUUUUCUAGUAUGUCUAUUUUAUUUGGUUAGCUUGGCAUGAAAUUCUAAUAAAUAUUGGCUGUAGUUACAGCAACCCUGUGACUUUGGUAUUGCGGGGCAGGUGCGGCAUGUGGCUAGACUCACGACGUGCCAUCGGCUUGUGCAGAAAAGAAGCAUGGACAACUUUUUAUGCUCAAGUGGAAAUUGAGUCUAAACUUGUUAGUUGGGCAUAUUUUGGCAAUGCACAUAUCAACUUAUAUAUGUGAUAUUAAUUAGAGAACAGAGUAGUUUAAAAAAAGAAACAAAGGUGUACAUGCAAAGUGCGGGUGCUAUAUAUUGGCAUUGGAUAUCAAGUUCUAGGUAUAUUAUGAGACAGAGAUAAUAUUAACUAAAGAACAAAACAAUUCCUGGAAAAAAGAGGAGCUUGAUGUGCCAGUACAGUCACCUGGGAGGGGCUAGCGCGGCAUCAAUUCCAACGGAGAUGUUGGACGCCCUACGGCACCCCAGUUCCUUUUUACUGAUCCGUCCGUCUGACACCUACGUCAAUUAGCCAUCUGUGCUCGUGAUGGGAGAGACCAGCGUUCAGCCCCUGGUACUGUGUAAUUCAUCGUGUACCUCUGCAUCCAUGGCAUCUCUAUGUGGACGGAACUUAAAAUCCAGGACAUCAUGGAGCGGUGGAGAAGAACUACGCUAGGGUUCUCUCUAGCAAGUUUUGCUGCGUUGGUGGAGCAGGAAAGUCCGAGGGAAUCUUCAAGGAGAUAUUUAUGGAAGACAACUCUCUUUUUUUAGUUGGGUUGAUCUUCUGAUGUACGGAUGAAUGGGCAUGACUCUUUUUGUAAGAUCUUUCUGUUUCUGUGAACCGGACGUGACCAAGCGUAAUUUUUUUCUGAAGAUCUUCUUUCUUAUUUGGGUUGUAAAUCUUUUUUUAGUUAGGUUGUAUUUUUUUUUCUAGUUCUUUCUAUGUACGAACGUGUCUUUUUUAGUUGGGUUCCUAUGUACGGA